rnacentral:rRNA from 4 species
CACCCGUUCCCAUUCCGAACACGGCAGUUAAGCUCUUCAGCGCCGAUGGUAGUUGGGGGUUUCCCCCUGUGAGAGUAGGACGCCGCCAAGC